rnacentral:rRNA from 1 species
GAGUUUGAUCCUGGCUCAGAUUGAACGCUGGCGGCGUGCUUUACACAUGCAAGUCGAGCGGCAGCGCGGGGCAACCUGGCGGCGAGCGGCGAACGGGUGAGUAAUGCAUCGGAACAUGUCCAUGUCGUGGGGGAUAGCCCGGCGAAAGCCGGAUUAAUACCGCAUACGCCCGAGAGGGGAAAGUGGGGACCGCAAGGCCUCACGCGAUUGGGUUGGCCGAUGUCCGAUUAGCUAGUUGGCGGGUAAAGCCCACAAGGCGAUGAUCGGUAGCUGGUCUGAGAGGAUGAUCAGCCACACUGGGACUGGAGACACGGCCCAGACUCCUACGGGAGGCAG